rnacentral:tRNA from 3 species
GAGGUAGAUGCAACGGGUGUUGCCGACAGUCUGCAAAACUGUUCGUUAUUGGAGUUCGACUCUCCUCUAUCUCUC